CCCCCCUGUCGAGGAUCCCUGGAAUUCUUCAGGGGUAAAGGGUUUUGAGCUUGGAAUUCUUCAGAGGUAAAGUGUUUUGAGUUUGGAAUUCUUCUGGGGUAAAUGGUUUUGAGCUUGGAAUUCUUCAGGGGUAAAGGGUUUUGAGCUUGGAAUUUUGGAAUUCUUCAGGGGUAAAAGGUUUUGAGCUUGGAAUUCUUCAGGGGUAAAGAGUUUUGAGCUUGGAAUUUUGGAAUUCUUCAGGGGUAAAAGGUUUUGAGCUUGGAAUUCUUCAGGGGUAAACAGUUUUGAGCUUGGAAUUCUUCAGGGGUAUGACAAUGAAAAACAUGUAUCCUCGACAGGGGGGUACGGAUAUUAAAUGGAAUAGCCCAUUUUGAACAUACUAUAGAUGACUUUCUUUAUUUAUAGUCUAUAUAUAUAUAUAUAUAUAUAUAUAUA